GAUGAACGCUGGCGGCGUGCCUAAUACAUGCAAGUCGAGCGAACAGACGAGGAGCUUGCUCCUCUGACGUUAGCGGCGGACGGGUGAGUAACACGUGGAUAACCUACCUAUAAGACUGGGAUAACUUCGGGAAACCGGAGCUAAUACCGGAUAAUAUAUUGAACCGCAUGGUUCAAUAGUGAAAGACGGUUUUGCUGUCACUUAUAGAUGGAUCCGCGCCGCAUUAGCUAGUUGGUAAGGUAACGGCUUACCAAGGCGACGAUGCGUAGCCGACCUGAGAGGGUGAUCGGCCACACUGGAACUGAGACACGGUCCAGACUCCUACGGGAGGCAGCAGUAGGGAAUCUUCCGCAAGGGGCGAAAGCCUGACGGAGCAACGCCGCGUGAGUGAUGAAGGUCUUCGGAUCGUAAAACUCUGUUAUUAGGGAAGAACAAAUGUGUAAGUAACUAUGCACGUCUUGACGGUACCUAAUCAGAAAGCCACGGCUAACUACGUG
rnacentral:rRNA from 1 species